rnacentral:ncRNA from 2 species
CCGCGCCCGCUACCUGAGAGUCAUGGCUAUCAGGUCUGUGCGAUUUGAAUCUGGUCGUGCCGCUGGCCUUAUAGGCCACCGCCAUGCGCAUCAAAGAUACCGACGGUCUAAAGCGUCCGUGCAGGUCUUGCGCAGUUUCCCCGCUGAUCGGCCCCGGCCUUUGGCGAGGUGACGUAGAUAGCACGAUAGGUCG